GGUUAAGCGACUAAGCGUACACGGUGGAUGCCCUGGCAGUCAGAGGCGAUGAAGGACGUGCUAAUCUGCGAAAAGCGUCGGUAAGGUGAUAUGAACCGUUAUAGCCGGCGAUGUCCGAAUGGGGAAACCCAGUGUGAUUCGUCACACUAUCGUUAACUGAAUACAUAGGUUAACGAGGCGAACCGGGGGAACUGAAACAUCUAAGUACCCCGAGGAAAAGAAAUCAACCGAGAUUCCCCCAGUAGCGGCGAGCGAACGGGGAGCAGCCCAGAGUCUGAAUCAGCUUGUGUGUUAGUGGAACGGUCUGGAAAGUCCGACGGUACAGGGUGAUAGUCCCGUACACCAAAAUGCACAGGCUGUGAACUCGAAGAGUAGGGCGGGACACGUGGUAUCCUGUCUGAAUAUGGGGGGACCAUCCUCCAAGGCUAAAUACUCCUGACUGACCGAUAGUGAACCAGUACCGUGAGGGAAAGGCGAAAAGAACCCCGGCGAGGGGAGUGAAAAAGAACCUGAAACCGUGUACGUACAAGCAGUGGGAGCACCUUCGGGUGUGACUGCGUACCUUUUGUAUAAUGGGUCAGCGACUUAUAUUCUGUAGCAAGGUUAACCGUAUAGGGGAGCCGCAGGGAAACCGAGUCUUAACUGGGCGUUAAGUUGCAGGGUAUAGACCCGAAACCCGGUGAUCUAGCCAUGGGCAGGUUGAAGGUUGGGUAACACUAACUGGAGGACCGAACCGACUAAUGUUGAAAAAUUAGCGGAUGACUUGUGGCUGGGGGUGAAAGGCCAAUCAAACCGGGAGAUAGCUGGUUCUCCCCGAAAGCUAUUUAGGUAGCGCCUCGUGAACUCAUCUUCGGGGGUAGAGCACUGUUUCGGCUAGGGGGUCAUCCCGACUUACCAACCCGAUGCAAACUACGAAUACCGAAGAAUGUUAUCACGGGAGACACACGGCGGGUGCUAACGUCCGUCGUGAAGAGGGAAACAACCCAGACCGCCAGCUAAGGUCCCAAAGUCAUGGUUAAGUGGGAAACGAUGUGGGAAGGCACAGACAGCCAGGAUGUUGGCUUAGAAGCAGCCAUCAUUUAAAGAAAGCGUAAUAGCUCACUGGUCGAGUCGGCCUGCGCGGAAGAUGUAACGGGGCUAAACCAUGCACCGAAGCUGCGGCAGCGACACUAUGUGUUGUUGGGUAGGGGAGCGUUCUGUAAGCCUGCGAAGGUGGCCUGUGAGGGUUGCUGGAGGUAUCAGAAGUGCGAAUGCUGACAUAAGUAACGAUAAAGCGGGUGAAAAGCCCGCUCGCCGGAAGACCAAGGGUUCCUGUCCAACGUUAAUCGGGGCAGGGUGAGUCGACCCCUAAGGCGAGGCCGAAAGGCGUAGUCGAUGGGAAACAGGUUAAUAUUCCUGUACUUGGUGUUACUGCGAAGGGGGGACGGAGAAGGCUAUGUUAGCCGGGCGACGGUUGUCCCGGUUUAAGCAUGUAGGCUGGUUAUCCAGGCAAAUCCGGAUAAUCAAGGCUGAGGUGUGAUGACGAAGCACUACGGUGCUGAAGUAACAAAUGCCCUGCUUCCAGGAAAAGCCUCUAAGCAUCAGGUAACACGAAAUCGUACCCCAAACCGACACAGGUGGUCAGGUAGAGAAUACCAAGGCGCUUGAGAGAACUCGGGUGAAGGAACUAGGCAAAAUGGUGCCGUAACUUCGGGAGAAGGCACGCUGGUGUGUAGGUGAAGCCCCUGCGGGUGGAGCUGAGACCAGUCGAAGAUACCAGCUGGCUGCAACUGUUUAUUAAAAACACAGCACUGUGCAAACACGAAAGUGGACGUAUACGGUGUGACGCCUGCCCGGUGCCGGAAGGUUAAUUGAUGGGGUUAUCCGUAAGGAGAAGCUCUUGAUCGAAGCCCCGGUAAACGGCGGCCGUAACUAUAACGGUCCUAAGGUAGCGAAAUUCCUUGUCGGGUAAGUUCCGACCUGCACGAAUGGCGUAAUGAUGGCCAGGCUGUCUCCACCCGAGACUCAGUGAAAUUGAACUCGCUGUGAAGAUGCAGUGUACCCGCGGCAAGACGGAAAGACCCCGUGAACCUUUACUAUAGCUUGACACUGAACAUUGAGCCUUGAUGUGUAGGAUAGGUGGGAGGCUUUGAAGCGUGGACGCCAGUCUGCGUGGAGCCAACCUUGAAAUACCACCCUUUAAUGUUUGAUGUUCUAACGUUGGCCCCUUAUCGGGGUUGCGGACAGUGUCUGGUGGGUAGUUUGACUGGGGCGGUCUCCUCCCAAAGCGUAACGGAGGAGCACGAAGGUUAGCUAAUCCUGGUCGGACAUCAGGAGGUUAGUGCAAUGGCAUAAGCUAGCUUGACUGCGAGCGUGACGGCGCGAGCAGGUGCGAAAGCAGGUCAUAGUGAUCCGGUGGUUCUGAAUGGAAGGGCCAUCGCUCAACGGAUAAAAGGUACUCCGGGGAUAACAGGCUGAUACCGCCCAAGAGUUCAUAUCGACGGCGGUGUUUGGCACCUCGAUGUCGGCUCAUCACAUCCUGGGGCUGAAGUAGGUCCCAAGGGUAUGGCUGUUCGCCAUUUAAAGUGGUACGCGAGCUGGGUUUAGAACGUCGUGAGACAGUUCGGUCCCUAUCUGCCGUGGGCGCUGGAGAAUUGAGGGGGGCUGCUCCUAGUACGAGAGGACCGGAGUGGACGCAUCACUGGUGUUCGGGUUGUCAUGCCAAUGGCACUGCCCGGUAGCUAAAUGCGGAAGAGAUAAGUGCUGAAAGCAUCUAAGCACGAAACUUGCCCCGAGAUGAGUUCUCCCUGAGACUUUAAGUCUCCUGAAGGAACGUUGAAGACGACGACGUUGAUAGGCCGGGUGUGUAAGCGCAGCGAUGCGUUGAGCUAACCGGUACUAAUGAACCGUGAGGCUUAACCUU
rnacentral:rRNA from 1 species